rnacentral:lncRNA from 1 species
GGGAUGAGAGUUACAAGGUUCGUUGCCACCACCUCCUUCCUCACCUCACACUAAUCCUGAAUGUCCUGACAGCCUCCGUACAUUUACAGCACCUCAAAAAGUAACUCCUCAUUGUGAUGUGGAGGUAGCAUUGUGGAAAGGAAAGGAUCCCAGGUCUCUCAAAAUAUUGUUCCUAAUAAGAAGGAUCUCUGAGUAUUCUGCCGUGGAAUUAAGAACACUCAGCCCUCUAUUUGUUUGCCUGGGCACUUUUUCAGUGUAUCACUUUUCAAAAUGGAACCUACAAAUUCCCUCUGUGAUACCUGUGUCCUGGCAAGGGUGGCAGAAGGUAGAUUUAUUGUAUAUUGCUGUAUUCAUCCAUUUCUCCUUGCAGUCACAACAACAGCAGCACCCACCACAUCCACUGCCAUCACCCAGAGCAGCCUGGUCACCACAAAGGACAUCUCCAGACACAGCCCGCAUGCAGGAACAAGCAAAGAGAACAUGCGAAAUUUCUACUGUAAAAUGGUCAUGUGGGUUAACCUGGCUUGUGCCUGCCUCCUGCUCCUCACUGCCAUAACCAUCACCAUCACGCACUGCCAAAGUAAGUUGCCAGUGAAAGUAAGUACCAGUGACGAUCCAUUAGCUGCAUUAAUUUCUCCAACAAGCAGCACAAAUGCUGAAGGACAGAUUGUUACACAACAUCUGCAUUUGCUGGUACAUUUCUGACUCAACUUUGUAAUUCAACGAAAGCAAUCUACACUAGUGACAGAGAAGCAAAAGGUGGAGGAGUAUCUUAAAGGGAGAUUCAUUCUGUAGGACUCCAAGUCAGCUUACAGCCAACACAGUGCCUGUAAAAAUUCUGCCUUAAAGCAGAACUCAGUAUUCUUCCUCACUGUUGUCACACCUCUCUUUCAAAUGUAAGAUGGCGAUUUAGGAGUAAAUUCAGAAAUCUUCAUUGAUAUUUUGGAUUCCUCCUUGCUAAGUUGGUCAGAUGCUCCCAUGCUAACAGAGGAAGCAUCAGCAGUGCUGAAAUAAACACAGCCACGCGUCACA